GAAACCCCUUCUCUACUAAAAAAACUACAAAAAUUAGCUGGGCGUGGUGACACGCACCUGUAGUCCCAGCUACUUGGGAGGCUGAGGCAGGAAAAUCACCUGAACCUGGGAGGUGGAGGUUGCAGUGAGCCAAGAUCAGGCCACUGCACUCCAGCCUGGGCGACAGAGUGAGUCUCUGUCUCAAAAAAAAAAAAAAAAAAAAAAAAAAGAAUAAGGUUUAAAGGAGGUGCUGGAUUUAUUUCCAUUAACUUUAAGGGAGAUUUAAAAAUUCUAGGUUGUUUGGUUUAACAAAACCUCUUUUACCUUUUUUAAAAAUUUAAAUGAGUUUCCAAUGUUUACCUUCUAGUUAGAACGUAAAUAAUGAGUAUCAUCUCAGCACUAGCAGCUGAGUAACAGCAGAUUUAAAGCAGGCAGAAAAAAAGAGAGGAAGAUAGAGAGCUUUAGAAGACUCUACUUAACUCUAUAGUGCAGGUUAACCAUUUGAGCUAUGAAUUUUUUUGUUGUAGUUUUUCCAUCAGUUUAAAAUGUGCACAAAAUUAUAAUAGUGAAAGAGAUCCGAUCUAGCCCACCUGCCCCUCUUGCCUUUAGCUUGUAAGCUGCCUUAAUCAUUCCAGGGCUUUUGGGCUGAGUUAAUUUUAGAAGACAUCUGGGUUAUAGUUUAAUGAUAAUAGCCCUUCCCCCAAACUCAAACACCUUUUUAAAGCUAAUGAGUGGCCAUCAGGCUAGGGGGUGGAGAGGAGCCUGAUUUCUGCUAAGGCGUAGCCAGCCAUUCCUGUAGAUAACACCACUAUUGUAGGUUGGCUUUUUGAGGUAUCUUUUCAGGUUUUUUGAAUGUCUGACACCCAUGGCUCUACCUGUACCCACCAAUCCCACUCCUGUGACCUCACCCAAAAGCGAUUCAGUGUGCAGGAGGACAGCUUCCACUCCCUAUGAUUUCAUCUCUACCCCAAACAAUCAGCAGCAACCCCAGCCACCCCCACCCCUCUCCUAAACUGCCUUUGAAAAACCCCUAAACUACGAUCUUUGGACGAGGCACGUGGCAUGGCUGGCCUCAUGUCUAUUAAACUUUUUCUGUACUGUAAUGCUGUACUCUUUCUUUGUACAGCAGGCAGGAAAAACUCCUCGGGUGGUUACACAACCAACCCAAAACUCAGGACUCAAACCCCUGUAUGGCUGUUGUUCUACUGGAUGGGCCUGGGGCUCAGAUGUUCCUCUCAUACAAGGAAUGAACCUCUGGUUUGGCUACUCCUGUAUUCCCUCACUGGGAACACACAGUCAGGCUUGAGAAUUCUAAUAGACUGGCCUGAGAAGAAGAAAACAGGGAAAUGUGAUUAGUCAUGAAGCAGCUGGUGACAAGGAGAGAGGAAUGAGGAAUAUGCCCAGAGCCGUGGAAAUAAACUAACAAGAAAACUGACUGAAGAUGCUCCACGUAGGAGAGUGAAUUCGCACCAUUUCAACAUCAGUAACUUAGGUAAUGAGAAGAGGGAGAGUGGUGAACAGAAUUCCUUUUAAGUUUAAUAGUGUGGGGGCUGCAUGCAGUGGCUCAUGCCUGUAAUCCCAGCACUUUGGGAGGAUUGCUUGAGCCCAGGAAUUUGAGACCAUCUUGGGGAACAUGGCAAGACCUUAUCUCACUAAACACACACACACACACACACACACACACACACACAUUAGCUGGGCACAGUGGUGCAUGCCUGUAGUCCUAGCUACUUGGGAGG
rnacentral:lncRNA from 10 species